rnacentral:rRNA from 1 species
UACAGAGGUCUCGAGCGUUAGGCGGAAUCACUGGGCUUAAAGCGUGUGUAGGCGGAUUGCUAAGUACCUUGUGAAAUCCCCACGGCUUAACCGUGGAACUGCUUGGUAUACUGGCUGUCUUGAGCCACUUAGGGGCAACCGGAACAAACGGUGGAGCGGUGAAAUGCGUAGAUAUCGUUUGGAACGCCAAUGGUGAAAACAGGUUGCUGGGAGUGUGCUGACGCUGAGACACGAAAGCCAGGGGAGCAAACGGG